rnacentral:rRNA from 1 species
UACGUAGGUGGCAAGCGUUGUCCGGAUUUACUGGGCGUAAAGAGCGCGCAGGCGGUCGAUCAAGUCGCGUGUGAAAGCCCCCGGCUCAACUGGGGAGGGUCACGCGAUACUGAUCGACUCGAAGGCAGGAGAGGGUAGUGGAAUUCCCGGUGUAGUGGUGAAAUGCGUAGAUAUCGGGAGGAACACCAGUGGCGAAGGCGACUACCUGGCCUGUUCUUGACGCUGAGGCGCGAAAGCUAGGGGAGCGAGUCCGG